UACGUAGGGUGCGAGCGUUGUCCGGAAUUAUUGGGCGUAAAGAGCUCGUAGGCGGUUUGUCGCGUCUGCUGUGAAAAACCCGAGGCUCAACCUCGGGCCUGCAGUGGGUACGGGCAGACUAGAGUGCGGUAGGGGAGAUUGGAAUUCCUGGUGUAGCGGUGGAAUGCGCAGAUAUCAGGAGGAACACCGGUGGCGAAGGCGGGUCUCUGGGCCGUAACUGACGCUGAGGAGCGAAAGCGUGGGGAGCGAACAGG
rnacentral:rRNA from 1 species